rnacentral:rRNA from 1 species
CCUACGGGUGGCAGCAGUGGGGAAUAUUGGACAAUGGGCGAAAGCCUGAUCCAGCCAUGCCGCGUGUGUGAAGAAGGCCUUCGGGUUGUAAAGCACUUUCAGUGGGGAAGAAAGCCUUGGGGCUAAUACCCUCGAGGAAGGACAUCACCCACAGAAGAAGCACCGGCUAACUCCGUGCCAGCAGCCGCGGUAAUACGGAGGGUGCGAGCGUUAAUCGGAAUUACUGGGCGUAAAGCGCGCGUAGGCGGUCUGAUAAGCCGGUUGUGAAAGCCCCGGGCUCGACCUGGGAACGGCAUCCGGAACUGUCAGGCUAGAGGGCAGGAGAGGAAGGUAGAAUUCCCGGUGUAGCGGUGAAAUGCGUAGAGAUCGGUAGGAAUACCAGUGGCGAAGGCGGCCUUCUGGACUGACACUGACGCUGAGGUGCGAAAGCGUGGGUAGCAAACAGGAUUAGAUACCCGUGUAGUC